rnacentral:rRNA from 1 species
UACGGGGGGGGCAAGCGUUGUUCGGAAUUACUGGGCGUAAAGGGCUCGUAGGCGGCCAACUAAGUCGGACGUGAAAUCCCUCGGCUUAACCGGGGAACUGCGUCCGAUACUGGAUGGCUUGAGUUUGGGAGAGGGAUGCGGAAUUCCAGGUGUAGCGGUGAAAUGCGUAGAUAUCUGGAAGAACACCGGUGGCGAAGGCGACAUCCUGGACCGGUAUUGACGCUGAGGCGCGAAAGCCAGGGGAGCAAACGGG